CCUACGGGGGGCAGCAGUGGGGAAUAUUGGACAAUGGGCGAAAGCCUGAUCCAGCCAUGCCGCGUGUGUGAAGAAGGCCUUCGGGUUGUAAAGCACUUUCAGUGGGGAAGAAAGCCUUGGGGCUAAUACCCUCGAGGAAGGACAUCACCCACAGAAGAAGCACCGGCUAACUCCGUGCCAGCAGCCGCGGUAAUACGGAGGGUGCGAGCGUUAAUCGGAAUUACUGGGCGUAAAGCGCGCGUAGGCGGUCUGAUAAGCCGGUUGUGAAAGCCCCGGGCUCAACCUGGGAACGGCAUCCGGAACUGUCAGGCUAGAGUGCAGGGGAGGAAGGUAGAAUUCCCGGUGUGGCGGUGAAAUGCGUAGAGAUCGGGAGGAAUACCAGUGGCGAAGGCGGCCUUCUGGACUGACACUGACGCUGAGGUGCGAAAGCGUGGGUAGCAAACAGGAUUAGAUACCCCAGUAGU
rnacentral:rRNA from 1 species